UCCGUAGGCGGCUUGUUAGGUGAGGUGUGAAAUCCCUCGGCCCAACCGAGGAAUUGCGCUUCAAACCGGCAAGCUAGAGGAGGAUAGAGGUGGGCGGAACUGAUGGUGGAGCGGUGAAAUGCGUUGAUAUCAUCAGGAACACCGGAGGCGAAGGCGGUCCACUGGGUCCUUUCUGACGCUGAGGGACGAAAGCUAGGGGAGCGAACGGGAUUAGAUACCCCGGUAGUCCUAGCCUUAAACGAUGAGCACUAGACCGAAGAAUCUCCACGAUUUUUUGGUCGUAGCGAAAGUGUUAAGUGCUCCGCCUGGGGAGUAUGGUCGCAAGGCUGAA
rnacentral:rRNA from 1 species